GUUAGCUCCUUGCCCUUAAAAAUGCAAUACAGAUAAAGUUCAUUACAUAUAUUGUCUAAGGUAGCAAAGAGAAAUUUUGCUAUAGCAAGCACUUAACAUGUGCAUGGAAAAUCAGAAGGGAAAAAACAAACAAACAAAAAACAUAAACAUAAAAAGGAUUGGAAUAAAUUAUUUGCUACAAAAGAAAAAGUGAUAUGGGCAUUUUGAUGCUACAAAUUGUGCUGCAUUAGCAAAAUUGCCAAAAUGAAGCUUAGCCACGAUGGAAAGUAUUAUUAGGUUCUUAAUCAAUAGGAUCAUUUUCAAGGAGGCUGGACACCCAACUAUAUGACGCAGAUCUUUUCCAUGCACAAGAGAAAUGGAAUACAGGAAACUGCAGCUUUAAUGAAUUACAAAGAAAAUUGAAAAUGCCUGUGAGAUUAUAGCUAAUUUUCACAUUAUAAUGGUCAGCCAACUUUUACAGCUUGUUGGUAUUUCUGCUGGAAAGCCAAACCUUCAUUUCUCCUUACUGCAGCCUUACUUCAGUAGGAAGGAGCUAGCAGAGGAGCUGAAAAGUAAUUCUUUUCUAAAGCACGGGUCUUUCUUCUGCUGUCCAGCAAGUAGAAAAUGGAAGAAAUUAAAUAUAUAUUACAGCAAGAUACACAAGGACAAGCCUGUUUCCUGUUACAUCAGAGAACAAGCGCAAGAGGUUAAAAACUCAUGGGAAAGUUAGCCAGGAACAGCCCUGGAAAAAGAAUGAAGCUCAACACAGUCACUCCUAAAAAUAACAGGCUGCGACUCCCAGUGCUCCAGCUCCACCAAUUUUUUGAUGUAUGCAAGUUGUAAGAGUUAAAAGAAAGUUGCACCAUAUUUUUGUAUUCUACAUAAAACAAAUUAUAUAGUCCAAUUCUGUUUAGGAUGGAAACUUUUUUACUUUAAAAUCUACACUACACUUAUUUACUUUAAAAACUACACUAGAACUAUUUUUAAGCUAAUAUUCUGACAGUUAUACAAGCUAUGCUGAUAACAUUUCACCAUAGCAUGCAUCACUGGUUGUUUUAUAAAAAUGUUGUAUAUAUAAAUUCAGAUUCCUGACUGCACACAGGUAUAACAGACCCAUCCCUCAGAAAGUCAGCUGACAGGCUAAAUUGCUCACUGCAAAGUCAGUGGCUAAUAUUACUAUCCAUGAUUUGGUCGUGGAUAUAGCCUCUGUGUUGAGACCUGGCUUGAUAUUGCACAGCUUGUAUUAGCCCAGAUGUUUCCUGAUAGCACUGCAUAUGCCUUGGCAUGUGGCACAGCUAUGUUAUCACUAUAUGAUUUCAGAGGCAAUAUGCAAAUAAACCUUUAUCAUCCACACUUGUCUUUCUUCUACUUAUCCUGAGUUUUACUGAAUCAGUGUUUUCUCAAAAAUUCAUAAAACAUCUUGCCAGUCAGGACCAAAACCCAAGGAUGUACUGACCACCACCCUAUCGUGCCUCUCAUUCCCUGAUCCUCCAGCCUGCAGAAACUCCUGUCCAUGACAGCUGAAGGUGUGUGAGUGCCCAUCCAAGCUAUUGAUCCUACAGUCUGCUGUUUUCUCCAAGGAAAAUGGAAACGUGGAUUAAAAGUUCUUCAGCUGGGGAGGGUAAUGAAUCCACUUUCUGAGUAACUGCUUUAAUGCUGAUGGAAAAAUAAAUAAAUAGGUUUUCCUACUGAA